CCUACCGCAAUCCAGCCGACGCUUCAAUGGGCUCCCACCCACAAACCCUCAGCUAAGCACUCAGAAGAGUUUUUUCAAAUGGGCCCUAACCUAACUUUCCAAACUUCUCCUCCGACCCCAAAACCGCCCUAGCACUCAAUCCAGUCUAUUCACAUUUCUAUCAACCGCACUCAACAGGAUUGAAACAUCUUUUCUGAACACCUCUGGUCCCAGCUCCCACCCGGCCUCGCGUCCCCAGCAGGCUCGGUUCUGCGCAUGGAGUGGGUCGCCCGCAGCACUCUAGAAAUCGCAGCUCAAGGCAAAGAGACGCGGACGCCUCCCGCAGACGUCCCUCGAGACCGGGUGUGGCAAGCCUAGCUCUCAGUCAGCCGACUCCUCGCUACGCGGAGCCCCUAAGUCCUCGGCCCAGAGGCCCCGGCGGGCAGUGCGGGAUCUUCCCAGCCUCAGCCA